rnacentral:misc_RNA from 1 species
CUGAGUGAGGGCCUCCGGGUCCGACCUCCAACCCUUUUGUGAACCACCUCGUUGCUUCGGGGGCGACCCUGCCGUUCGCGGCGUGGGGCCCCCGGAGCCCAUCAAACCCUGCGUAACCAUGUCGUCGGAGUUUAAACAAAUAAACA